CCUGGCUGCACCUCUCCUAGACCCCCAUUUAAGGGCUGACUGCCAUGGGAGGAGGGUCUCUUUCUGGACAUCCCUUCUCUGUGGAGUUUUCUACUGUAAGCUUGGAUAUGGGCAGCAAUGUAGUUUUCAUCAAGUGUUUGUUCUGAACAGUAGCUGGAAGCACAUGGAAUAACUUUUAGAAGACAAUGAGAUGGUGCUCAGACGUGGGGAAAGCAAGUGUCUUUGGCUGUUCUCAGCUUCCUAAUGGUAAUCACUUCUGGCAAUUAAGAGAAAACUCUGCAAAGGCAAGGCUUACGAUGACAGUGUGUAUCAAACACUCAACACAUAUCUAGGCAGCAGCUAAAGUUCAGCUACUCAACUUUAACCUUCAAGAGGAGGUCAACAGGAAAAGGGAAGUGUGUUACAGCUCACGCUGAUGUUAAGUGAGAUCCUUCAAUGGGGCUUGAACUCCUACUCAAGAUAUCAGCAAGCGGUCCAAGUGCCUUCGAGUGCAAGUCGAGCUUGUUACAGAGCACUGGAGGAGUCAUAAAAGUUCUACAUCAAAGAUGCAGAUACCAUAUGAGUUUUAUCCAAGAGAUCUUUCACCACCUAUCUGACACCAGCUUCCAAUCUGAGACAAUGGCAAGGAAUACUUCGAGCUAUGUCUCAUUAUGGGGCAUGCAGAAUGCUAUUGAUUAGUCUUCCUCUGGCUUCACAAAUGCUUUAUAAUUCCUUGUUCCAUUAAAUCAACACUAGAAAUGUGAGAUUUUGAAACAAAAGCUCUGUGAAAUGCUCUCAGAGAUGAAAAUCCUCUAUUUUUAUCGAGUGGUCUUUCAUUUGGGAUCUUUUCUAUAUUGGUAAAAACAAAGGAACUUCACUUUGGAGCCUUACCAGACCAAAUCACAAAAUCUACAAUUUUACUGGCUGUAAGAUACCUUGAACUUUAGAGACUAAUUUUAAACUUCAUAGAUAUGAAAGGCUUCAUCUUCAAGUGUGGCAAAAAAAAAAAAAAAAAGGCACAUGAAAGAGAAUGGCAUGGAUAACAAAAAUCCCCUAGUAUUUGUUGAUCAUUGCUUAAAGUUCAAAGCACAUGAAAGGGACCAACCAGCAAAGGACCAUGGGGAUCACAUUUUAUUCAUCUCUGAAUGAGAGGGGAGAAUGUACCAAGGAAGUGAAGAAAUCCAGAUAAAUUGAGGGGAAAUGGAGCAAUAAAAUUCAAAAUAAUGAUAAUUUGCAUAAACUCAGGUGUUUUACAGUUGGUGGGAAAGAGAAGCUAAAACCACACAACAAAAGGCACGGGGAGGAUACAAAAGGAGCGUGGGACAAUGGUUUUCAUGGCAUUGGCCACAUAGACUUUAACUUCUAGAACAAGACCAAUGAAAAAAAGUCCUACGGAGACACCAGUCACCAGUUUGGAUAUCUUUGUAUUGUUCCUACGAUAAAGGAUAGAGAAGGGGUAUGUAGCUCAAAUCUGUUUUCUCUCUUAACUUCUGGGAGGUUUUAAGAUACUACUCUGCAGAAAUGCAGACGAACAGAAGAGCAGCACAAUUCAUACGGAAAGAACUGUACCUUCAUUCUUGUUUUUUUUUCAACUGUUAUUUUUUCUUACAUGUUCUCUUUGCAUUGUUUUUUGCUGAGAUGAAUUUACUCAUCAAGCCAUGCUGACCACCCUCUAAUGAAAGCUGUGCUGCCAUCACCUAGCAGUCUGAGCUGAACAAGCCGUGCAACAGCGAUUCUGACCCUAUGACAAAUUUGUUCUCACUCAAGGAUGGUGUUGCAUAUGGCGCUGUUGUUUCCUGGUGAAUCUGCAUGCUCUGCUCCCUCUGCAGUAUUCAUUAACACAAGUCACUUGUACAGUAAAUAUUUAUUUAACUUUAAGAUUUAUAUAGUGUCUUUCCCUAUAGCAUCUAGGUGGUAUUUGCAGAAAUUAAAAACAUAAGUUAUAUGAAGCUUUCAAUAAUGUUUUGCAUUAAACUGCUACUGUUGUCAGAAAUAAAUCAGCCAUAUUGUCAUGAAAUGAAAUAAACCUAACAAAACCCAAACAAGCAAAAGUACAAAAUCAAUCAACCAAAAGCUAACCAUAUAAAUGUGGCUUGCAUAAAUACAAGCAAGAGAGAUUGGCUAUCAGCUGCAUCUCUGAAAUACCUAGACGUGAAUAAAAGCAGGCAUCAUUAAUCUGCAUUGAUUGCUCUUGUUUGCCAUGCAGGGCUUCCUAUCUGACCCAAACACUAGCUGGAAGCCAUAUUGCUAACAUUAUUUGUAGGGAAAUGUGUUUUUGCAGCCGAGCCAAAGUAAGAGGUGAGCAAUCACAAUAGCUUCGAGGUUUAGGAAUGUGAGAGAUGAGUAUUUUUCUCCAGCAGCAAAGGCAGCUCAAGGGGCUCCAGCCCUUGCCUCAACCUCCUUGUUCAUUUCCUCCUUUGUCUCUCUGUUCAUCACUCCAUCAGCUGCAAAAGAGCAACUGUUAGUGCUGCUUUGCUAUGUGCCUAAUUGUGAGUUGUUCUAGAUUGAAUUCUUCCAAAAGCACUGUUAACAAAUAAAAUCAGAAAGAACAAGUCAUUGCACUGACAAGGGUUUGGACGCAACCUCACAAAUAGCUAAAACAGUGCUAUUGAGAGACCACUGACCUCUGGGAAAGCUCUUCAGCCAGAGAGAAAGUUUGUGUAACCACACACUCAGGAAUAUUGCUCAUCUCUGGGGAUGGGCUUUUCUUGAGACAUUUUGGAUGCUUGGGAAAAUGCUUCCAAGGUCCCCAAAAGCCUGGAGCUGACUCUGUUCACUACAGUUGUUCAUCCAUAGAGCUGCUAGAGCUGCCUAUGUAGUGCUAUUUUAAUCACUGUGCUCAACCCUUUCUGUGUCGGGCUGCAAUGCUCAAUACACUGUAUGGCAGAACACAUAGCCGACUAACUUGAUAUAUCCAAGCUGCAACGGGUAAUUGGUUUGCU